rnacentral:lncRNA from 1 species
UUUUUUUUGCGCAUAUAUGUCGAUUGUAAAAAUGAAUCUAGCAAAAAUACUUAAAACAUUGCUAAAAUAAGACCUGGCAACAAGGCGGAGGCUCUCGACGUCAGGCCCGUAGACGGUGGUUGCCUUGAUAAGGCGGAGCUUGGCGGUCAACGCCGUUCCCGACACGUCGACGGUCACUGACCCGACCGUGUAUCCAUACCCAACGACGCCGGGCGUCCCCUCGCCUUCUCCGACCGACGCGUGGACGUCCGACGUAGACGACAGCAGGUACAAGAAGAUCAACAACGCCAAGAGAGGUAGAAGAAGACAGCGAUGAUGGUCUCUGCUACUCCGCAUGUUUUCAGCUAGAUAGAUAGAGAGAGAGAGAGAGAGAGAGAGAGAGAGAGAGAGUGGGAGGAGCUUCGAUUUUCAUCUGCCGCCCGCGGUGGACUUCCCACGGUUUGUCUGCCAUUCCCGUCCACGUCAGGAUAACUUUCUUGACGGGGAUAAAGGAAGAUAGCGAUAAGGUAAGUUUCU